rnacentral:rRNA from 1 species
GACGAACGCUGGCGGCGUGCUUAACACAUGCAAGUCGAACGGAAAGGCUCUGCUUUUGUGGGGUGCUCGAGUGGCGAACGGGUGAGUAACACGUGAGUAACCUGCCCUUGACUUUGGGAUAACUUCAGGAAACUGGGGCUAAUCACGGAUAGGAGCUCCUGCUGCAUGGUGGGGGUUGGAAAGUUUCGGCGGAUGGGGAUGGACUCGCGGCUUAUCAGCUUGUUGGUGGGGUAGUGGCUUACCAAGGCUUUGACGGGUAGCCGGCCUGAGAGGGUGACCGGCCACAUUGGGACUGGGAUACGGCCCAGACUCCUACGGGAGGCAGCAGUGGGAAAUAUUGCACAAUGGGCGGAAGCCUGAUGCAGCAACGCCGCGUGCGGGAUGACGGCCGUCGGGUUGUAAACCGCUUGCGCCUGUGACGAAGCGUGAGUGACGGUAAUGGGUAAAGAAGCACCGGCUAACUACGUG